GACGAACGCUGGCGGCGUGCUUAACACAUGCAAGUCGAGGGCACUAUUGGGGCAACCUGGUAGUGACCGGCGAACGGGUGCGUAACACGUGAGCGACCUUGCCUCGUGGUGGGGGAUAGCCGGCCCAACGGCCGGGUAAUACCGCAUAUGGUGCUGUCUUCGCAUGGAGACGGUAGCAAAGCUGUGUCGCAAGACAUGGCGCCACAGGGGGGC
rnacentral:rRNA from 1 species